AAUUACUUGAGUGCCUUUUGGUAGGAACAUGCAUAAUGAGGGAAGUUCUCUUUAUUCUCUAUUUCUGCUACUUCGUGCAAACAGCAGGUCAAAAAGAUUUGGCCAGCUGGGAUCCACACUAGUUCCACGACUCUUUAAAAAAAUAUAAAUGUCCUCCUCUUACUCCAGCCAUAUUUUUCCACUGGAGAAAUGGGUCAUUUGGUGAGAGAGAAAAAUGGCAUAAUGAUCCAUUUGAAUCUGCUCUGGUUCCCUGACAGACAUAAUAGCUCAACACUUGUAUAAAUAUUUUGAUAUGAAUUCAGCCAGCAUUGCAGUGGGUCAUGGCUGGAAUAAGUGUACAGGAAGGAAAGAAAGAAAACAGAGAUGUUCUGAUGACAAAAAAUAGACUAUUUCACAAGUAAAUGUACUGUUAGUUUUGGAGGAAGGACUCGCAAUUGUGAAAGGAAAACUCUCUACAAAGCAUUUUCAUUUUGGAGACUUUUUGCUUAACAAAUGCAGGAGAUAAAUACUUAUCAGUUAUUGAAGCCUAGAUGUUUCCAGAGGGGCUUUGUUUUAUUAGCAUGAUUCAUGCUGUUUCUGGGAAGUAAGGCUGACGAAUGAGUGGGCAGCAGCAGAAGGGAAGUAUUUGGGAAUUUGCUUGUCUCUGAAGUACCUCGAGCCGGUCCAGCGCGCAGCACAUUGGCUGCAGACAAAGAAAGGGACGUUUCUUGUCUCGUCCGAGCGCUUGCGUCCGAGGGCUCCCUGCUUUGGAAGUGUAGAGACGCCGGCCUGGUCACUCUCGGGCCCUGGCUGCCAGCGCGAAGGAUGGCAGGUGAGUCGCAGGAGGACGACUGUGAAGUCUGGUAUUUCUGCGCUAGGCGCUGCUCUCCGCCCGGCCCAGCAGCACCUGUACACGGCACUUCAGGGAGCAGAGCCUGGCUGCGUGCCUGCUCUCUCUUCUGGCAGAACAGCGUGCAGCAAAUGUGGCCAACAGCAAAAACCUCCCAGCACAUGAUUAGCCUGUAAGGAGGACUCCAGGGGCAGUGAAGCUUGCUGACUGCAAAAUUGGUUUAAUUUGAAAAGGAAGGGAGAAGCCAGUGAAGCGUGAAUCUGAGCCCUUCUUGGCAUCUCUUUGUUCACACACACGCAGGGCUGUGCACUGAACUCUUCCCCGCUGAAAGCCUGUUGGAAUAAGCAGUAUAUUUCAGAGCGGCCUCGGCGCAGACAGCAAUCUCCAGCCCCGCUGUCCUGCCUUCGGCAGCCAUCUGGGCCCCUCACGUCCACAAGUAAAAUCUUCCUCCCCCGCUGCCCCGGGCCAGCCGGGCCAGUGAUGCUCUGUCCUGGAUGGGGUGGGCAAAAUGCGGGCCGGAUGCAGCCCACCGGGCCGUUCUAUCCGGCCCCUAAAACAUUUAGAAAACUCAUAUUGAUCUGCCCCUGGCUGCCCGUCAUGCGGCCCUCGAUGGCUUGCCAAAACUCAGUAAGUGGCCCUCCGCCCAAAAUAAAUGCCUGCCCCAAGGGAAGGGAGUCCUCUCUGUUGCUCCACAGGUCCCAUGCUUUCACGGGCAGCUGGGCACCCUCGAAUCCCCUCUCCUGGCAUGUCCAGCUACCGCCGUCUGCAUGAUGUGCAUUGAGCUUUUCUCUUCGAACUCAAGAGUUGGAGCCUCUGCUCCCCUGCGUUUGGGGGGUGCUCAGACCGGUGACGACAGGUUUGGGAGCUGUUUGCCCAAAGCAGGAACAGCCCUGGCCCGCAGGUGCCUGGGACCCGAACCUGCCACCGCUCACAAGUGUCAGCUCCUUGCCUCCUGCAGCAACAGCGCUCGGCUCACCCAACCGAACCAGCGAGCCCCGGGCUGCCGCAUCGUGGGCUAGGACAACACGACAGCCCCUCUGGCAAUAGGUGCGUCCGACCGACAAGGGGACGUCAGCGUGAUCUCCGUGAAGGAGCAUAGGCGGGCGUUUGAAGAGCAGGUUGGCUUUGCAGAUGCAGUAGUACCCAGACGCUGCAGGGUUUGAUUCCCGAGCUCCCGGCGAAGGAGUGAAAGGAGGACACGCGCUUCCUCAGCAAUGAGACCAUGACUUCAUCGGCCUACAAGGAAGAUGACGGGCAGAAACGGCAGGACGACGGGGAAGGGCUGUGCUGUGAGCCUGCAGCACACCUUUCGCUGCUGCUCAGAGAGAUGUUCUGUUAUCCACUGAUGCAUCCUCAUUUAGAUGGGUUUCUUCUUCCUGGAUAUUUAAACCAGCGAUUCUUCGGCUCUGCUCAGCACUGGCGAGGCCUGGCCUGGAGUCCUGUGUCCGGUUUUGGGCCCCACGUGUCUAAAAGGAUGCAGACAUGGACAGAUUGGCAGGAGUCCAGCAGUGAGCAACACAAAUGAUUAGGGGCCUGGGAAGCGAGACGCCUGAGCAAAGGCUGAAGGAACGAGGGCUGUUCAGGUUGGAGAAGAGAAGAGAAGACUGAGGCGGGGGGAGGUUGAUCGCUGUCUUCAGACACCUGAAGGGCAAUUUCAAGGGCAAAGAGUGGAUAGAGAUGGGCUUGUCUCUGUGGCUGUAGGGGACAGGACUAGGAGCCACGUGUCAAGCUUCAGCUUGGGAAGUUUAGGUUGGAGAUGAGGAGAAACCUUCUGGCCAUGAGGGUGGUCAAGCACUGGCCCAGGCACCUCGAGAAGUUGUUACCCUCCAUCCCUGGAAACGUUCAGGAGUAGGAUGGGUGGACGGAUGGAUUAGUGCCUGGGAUGGUUUAGUCAGGGAUGAUCCUUCCUUUAGCAGGGGAUGGACUAGAUGUGAGGUCCCUUCCAGCCCUACUUUCCUAUGAUCCUAUGAUCAUCUAGAGCAGCCUUGGUCCCAGGAGACGAGUACCAUGGCACUCAGGUGGAGUCCCCCUUUGACAAGGGCUGCUUUCCAUCAAUGCAUCCUGGUUGUUGACUCGUAGAGUCAUAGAGACGCGGGGCUGGGAGCGACCGUCAGAAGUCUUCUAGUCAGACCCCGGCCUGCGGCAGGACCGUCCUUACCCCAACCAUCCCAGACAAACCCAUCAUCUAACCUCUUUCUCAAACCACCACCAACCCUGACAUAACACCCAGACCUGCCACAAAUAACGGAGGUGAAAUUCCCUCCCAGCUCCAUGCGGCAACCAGCAAACAUCCCCAAACCCUCCUCACGGCACUAAGACAUUAUCCCCAUUACCUUAUUGUGCCUCCCUCCCUUUCUGUAAGGCCCAGAUGGAUUUUACUGAUCCCCUUCCUCUGGGCUCCGGAUCCUCUUGGUCAGCAGGUGUUUGCAACCCAUGCAGCCACUCCUCCCUCCUCAGACCCUGCCUGGACUCCAGCACUGCCGCCAGCUCCAUCGCUGGUCUCGGACCGCGUCUUCCCCGAGUCCUCUCGGGCAGCACGGCGCCGUGUGCCCAGCUUCCAGCGUGGUCCCGUGCCAGGGCAAGGUACAUCUAGGAGCUUCUGUAUGCAGGCAGAUUGUUGUGGGAACUUAUUCAGAACUCAUCCUCAGUCCUCGGGGUGAUUUUCCCCCUUGUUCCUUCAAAGAAAACACCCAAACUGAACUCCUCCAUAACCGAAGCAAACUCCCUGGUUUAUGGCUCCCUGCACACCGCUUGUAUGGCGUUGCUGAUGUCACCCGGUCCCGCUGUUUGGGCUCAGCAGACAGCGGUCCAGCAGUCAUGAUCACAUCUAAUCUGAAGGAGACUGAAUCACCUGAACGAGCUGCUGAGCCUUGUAGGGAGCCUGGCCUGCCAAGCAAUGUGCUGCCUCGGAGGAUGGGACGGCCACCCCCACCCCCCCCGGGCCAUGCAAGCUCUGCACUUCAUGUGUGCGUGAGGCGGUCCUGGCUGCAUCACUCUGAUUCCCUCUCUCUCUUUUCCUGUUCCAGCCUAGCGAUGCUCACUUAAUGAACCAACAAACCCUGACCCAGCCUCUGCCUCUGAGCUGCAAUCCCGUCACGAAGCACGAGCAGCUGAAAUCCUCUCCUGCUACAGUUUGCAGAUACCCGACCACUCGCUUGUUGAAUCACUUGAGCACAGCUCAGCGAGACGAAAGGUUUCUGGUCGGGUUGCACAGCGGUAUCAGCUGGGACGGCGAGUGCCACAGAAGCACCACAGCGAGCACGGCCACGAAGUGGUUCGACUGGCGUAGGAGCAGCAUUGCUGGUCUGCAGAGGGAGCUGUGCUCAUCCCAUUUCCCUCCCUGGGAAAACCCGGUGGAGAGCUGUAGGCUCAUCACGUCAGUCUGGAGUCAGGUAGAAGGCAGAAUGGAGUUGCACCUUAUAGACUAACCAGUUCUAGGUGCCACACUUCAGCAAAGAUGUGGGGAAGCUCAAGAGAGUCCAAAGGAGGGCCACGCUCAUGAUUAGAGGCCUUGACAGUGCAUGCAAGGCCUCUGGCAAGAUCCUCAGAUGGCAUGGUUUUUGUUAUAUGAAUCUGAAAGACGUGCAGGACGAAAGACGCAACAUCUUUCGAGUAUUCUGUUGCCUAGUUUCUUGCAUUUUAAUACAUAAUACAGCAAAUUACAGAUAGCAGUAAUGUGCCUCCCAAUAAAGUCAUAUAUGGUUUGUAACGACGCCCCAGGGAAAUCCACCUCUGUCAAACAAGAUUCGCUACUGCAGAAGGAGAAGUUGGGCGCUGCUGCUGGAUCACUUUGUGGCCAACAAUCACCACUACAAUAUGGUACAAGCGUCACUGUUGCUCUUGCUCCAGCUGCUCGUACACUGGGGCUGCAAGAAACCUCUCUGCUCAGCACCUCCAGUGUGUGACGCCGAGCACCCCUGCCUAGGCACGCGGAGCUGAGAGUUGUCUUCCUCCGAGUGAUCCGGCGCUGGCGGGGUGCCGGCUGCGUUGGACCUAGGGUUGACCUUGCGUGUUGGGAUUGCCUGUUUCAGACACGUGGGGCCCAUCCUAGGCUACAGACUAGAAAAAGGCCUGUUUUCACGUACAAUUACUUUUACUGUGGACGGUGGAUAUGACACCUGGUGCAUUUUCGCUGCCAAGGGUCAGAGAAAGUUGUGCUCAGUUUGGGAUCUGGCUGCAGAUGAAGCUGGGGCUCCGGGGUCCUUGUUCUGGACACAGGAUUGAGACGGGUUCAGGUUCUGCAAAGACCUGGGCCUCGUGGCCUGGCUUCCUCCGCAGAACUGAUCUGGUCUGGCCUCAGACAGGAGAGUCUGGAGAGUUGUUUCUCUGCGUUCAGAGGGACAUGGACAGCAUCGGAUGCCUUAUAAACCAACCUCUUAAAGUACAAGUGCCUUGCUCUGGCCGCAUAGGUGUUUCUGCUGCUCACCAAUAUGCUAAGUUGUCAGGUCUUGGCUUCUGCUGGGCAAAGCCUGAAAGGGUCUUCUAACUUCCAGCCUGUGCUCUCACCUGAACCUUGCGCUGUAAACGCCUCCCUAGCCAGAGGUUUCACGUCUUGCACCUGUAGCCUUUAACCUCAUUUCCCUAUUCAUAUGCUCUUCCUCUCUGAUGGCAAUUCAUAUCGGCUUCCAGAAGAGACUGCCCGUUCUCACUUUUCUGCAAGCGCUGUUACUCCAAACCAAUAGAAGUUCUUAACUGUUUUUGUGGAGGGGGAAAAAGCACUUGGCCUUGUUUUCCCUGAGACCUUUCUGUUCCCUCCACCCCUCCUUUUGCAGGGCCAUGUCAUAUUCAAACCUUGUCAAAACUGGCUGCCUGCUUUGUUCACCUGCGCCUUCAGAGUCUCAGCUUACACGCCGUCCCCAAGAAGGCCAGCCGCGUCUCCGUCUCACGGAGCAGGCACAACAGCAGGGAAAUUUGCAGCUCUGUAAAGCUGCUUUUGCUCCCAGGAGGUGUCCCUGUGGGAAUGGGGGAAUAUUAGAUUAGUAAUGAGGCAGACAUUACUUUACAUUCAUAAUGAAACACCAUGUCUGCUGAUCCAGCAAGCAGUUACAUGUAACACAAAGGCUUGCUGCUGUCCCCAUCACCAAAUACAUGUUCUUAAAACCCACUCACCUUGCUGCCCUGUGCCGAUGGGGAGGUACGCUGAGAGCACGCAGCGCGCAGGGACACGGUCAGCCCCUGCUUCGGUGAGGGCUAAAGUCCCGUUCACAUCGUCUUUGUUCUGGAGGCAAUGUGACAUCGCGUGUGCCAGGGAUGACAUCCGGGGGUGCCGGACGUGACGUACUUAUACCGCGUGCUUCUGAGGCUGGAGUACGUGGACCAGAUACUGAGACGGAAGUAGGGACGGGACUUGAUGGAGUGCCAGCUCUUCCACAGCCACUUCCGCGUUACCAGGGUGGAUGGAAACUUAGCUUUCAUCUUCUUACCGAGAGAGAAGGUGUGUAUAUGGGGAAUUACCAUGGAGCAGCGGAUGGGUGGCCAAGAUCUGCCAGUGCUCAUCUCCAAUGCACUUGCUUCUGUGCUUGUGCCCUUGGACUCUGAAUGCUUCUCUCCUCUUUCCUUUGCUGGGACGGGGCUGCACUAGCGCUGGGUGAGGAGCUGGGGCAAUUCCAGCUCCUUCGCCUACUCCUGCGAUAGCCAGGGCUAUUUCUUGAAGGACCCGCUUGUGCCAUCACUGUUUUUAAGGGAAUGGUUGAAGUGAGGGAUGUCUGUGGCUGACGAUACGGCCCCUGUCCCCCAUUCAAGACGCUUGCUCGGGGUGAUCGAAUGGGCAGGAGCACGGACACCUGGUUCUCUACCUGCAUCUACUGUUGUCCCCCUAUGGCCCUUGGCCACAUCGCUUCAUCUUCCUGUUCUUCCAGUCUUUGUCUUGUCAGCUCUGACCGGAAACGUGUGGGCAGGGACCAUCUCUUGCAGCAUAGGGCUUUUGCUGCAGGUCCCAGUCCCCAGCAGGGGUGUCUCCCGGUGCUUCUGUAAUAGCAGCAUAUGCUCUAGUUGAGUCCUGCCACCCAACUGCUCUUGUCCCUUACAAAAAUCACACUGUUUUCAUUUUCUAAGCAGCCUUGUUCUUUUCCGCUAGAGUCUAUUGCAUGCAUUUUAUGCUUGAGGAACUAUAUGUAGGUUUUAUUGCUCUCAGUUGUGUCUUGUUCUUCUGUGCUGCAAGUUAAUAAGAUUGAGAUGGGUUUGCAAUCAGCAGAAAUUAACCUUCCAUGGAGAAUGGGUACGAGAAGUUCAGCCCACACUCGAGGCCCUUCUGGGCAUGAGGCCGGAUGCUGUCGAGCAGUCCAGGCUUGGGCCCAGGUGCUGAGAGCAGUGAGAAGGGCCAGCCCCCGGUGUACGGGCCCUUCCAUAAGGGCGUCUCUCCCCCUGCUUUCUCCCCUCGGAUCGGGCCGCACCCUGCCUGGCAGCUCCUCGUCUGCCCUGUGGCACCCCUUGCCCUUGCUCUUUGCAGAACGUGUUCUCUGUGGUGGCUGGGGGGAGAACAAGAAACCUGAUCUGAUCCCAAGCUCGUGGAGGGGGAGGCAUUCGGCAGGCUCCUCUGCCAUUGCAGCAUCCUCAGGUAUUUUGCUCAACACUGCUCCCCCCCACCUCCCAUUUCGGAGGGUCUAAAAAUGGCUCCACAGAGCCCAGGCCACCUCCAGGGGUUUGAACCAUCACGAGGUAUCCCUGAGGACAGCUACGCUCCCGUCUCCUCCUCUCCCAGCACGAGACAGUCCUGGGGACCUGUGACACCAACUGCGUUUUACCUCUUGCAAAGCACGUGUCUGAUGUCACUUCCCUCCCACAGCCCCGUCCCCUUCGUACGGAUGUGCCCUCCCCUGUCCUGGGGCUGUGUCCCGGGCAGGGCCAAAGACCGCUGUCCCCGAGCAUUCGCCGACCCGCCGUUCCUACGCUCGUGCACGCAGUGGGUCGCAGGGGACAGGGCUGUCAGGUCUCUGGAGGAGGCCGAGGGCCUGCCUGUGGCCAGCUGCGUCCCUGCACAGCUGGUUUCGGUGCCAGCGAGACUGGAUUGGCAUACCCAGUGCUGUCAGUGCUUAGAGCCCUGCAUAGAUCUUUAUUACCUCAAAUCUCAGCUGCCCAAGUCUCUUGAGUCUGUGGAAAGAAUAACACUACGGAGCUGCAUAAGACUCAUCAGGCUGGCUAAUUACUGAGGUUUCCUUAAUCAGCAUAGCUGACUUGAAGGGCUCGCUUGAGCUAAUCCCAAGGUUGAAGCAUGAAAUACAUACCCAUCCUCACCCUAGCCCCAGGGAACUGGAUGUAGCGUUCAUGUCUUCCACAAUCAUUUUGCAAGUGUCUUAAUGCUCAUCUUUGCUGCAGUCAUUUGCAGCUCUGGUUGCACGGGUGUGUGCCCACGCACAUGGAUAUAAAUAGACACGGUGAUGUACAGCUCACGUGGAGCUUUGCUGCAGGUAAGGGCAGCAGAGAGCUGCACUGCCUCGAGCAGACCAGACCGUGGCUCCUGGUCCUAUAUUUGGAGCAGAUUAGUUCCUCGUUGGAUGCUGGUAGCAGUGCCAGGGAUGCAGAGCUCACCCUCUCCCUGCUGCCUGUGCGCAGGCAUGGACCGGGGAGAGCAGCCCCACGUGCCUCAGGCAAUACCUGCUGUGCACCAGCAGCUCACGUGGAGGGAGGGAAGCAGUCCAGUUUCUUUGCAAGCCAAUUUCUGUGCCCUCACUGCCACUGAGAUUGAAAACGGAUCGGGGCCCGUCCUACGCUGCUUUAGGUUACUGGAGAAACCCGGAUCAGCUGCAACCUUGGGACACAGACCGCACGGGCACAGGACAUGUUCGCCACAGGCAUUGCCACCCCCAUUCCCACCGCAGGUGAGCAGACCAGAACGCCCGAGGCCCGUUGCAAACCCGGGUGAACCCUCCCUAGCAAAGCAGAACGAAUGCACGCCAUCCACCCCGCAUCAACGCAGAGCUUCUGCCGCGUGACCAUGUCUUUAAAUACAAAACUUCCUGUGGAGCCCUCAGGCCGUAACUGCUGCUUUUCGUUCUUCCUUUCAGUUCCUUUCCACAGCUUUUGGCUUUCUUGCCCCAUGAAAAGUUAAGGAAAAAAUACUGUAAUCAUAACCCUUCCCUGACUCGAGCUUGUGUGACCUCCUGUGACCUUACCUAGAUGCUUAAACAGCUACAGAUCACUGCUUGCUAAUGGGGACUUCUGCUAUUGGGACGAUCCCUCUGGGAACAGAUGUAGUCGAUCCAGUGCUCCAGGAUCUGUUGCAGCCAGAAAGGUCGAUCCUGAGCCUUACGGCAGCCUGCCACGCGCGCUGAAACCCCGCGAAGGGUGCAUCAGGCCUGCCUCCCAACAGACAUCCAUCUCUCUCGCUCCGCGCGGGGGCAGAAAGUUGCUGUUUGACAUUUGUGAGAGUUGAAGCUAGAUUGCAGUUGUUCUUGAGCAAGCUCCUCUCCCCUCUCCACCCUGUCUCACGGCCCUGGGGCCAUCGCGGACUGACAGACGUGUGUCAUCCCCCUUCCUCCCCCUGCCCAACUCCAGCAAAAGCUGCAGCACCUUUCUUCCAUCCCCCUCGGGCUGGUGUUUCCGUCUUGGACAGGGUGACCCCUGCCCAGAUGCCUCUCGGGCCACGUGGAGCAGCCCUUUGGUGUCUGCGGGUCAGCCCUCCCUUUCUGCAGCCGAGGGACGACGCAGCGGGCGAGCUGGCUCGCCCCCUUGGAGCCGACGCUUUCGCGGGCGCACCUCUCCAUCCACCUCACAACCAGGACAGUCCAGGUUAACACGUAACUGGAAGAGGCUGUGCUGUAUUCGCGCCUGAUGUCAGCGGAUGCAGCUGCUCACUCCAGACCCCAGCUUGGGCCUUCCCAUUUGAACUUUUUUCGACAUUAUUGGAGCUCAAGCGAAAUUUGUUCCAGCUGCUCUCACAAUGCCAAGACAUUGCCAGGGUCACAGACGAUGUCUCUUUUCUGCCAGAUGAUAAUGGCUUCUGCCAGGGAGCUCUGAAAAGGCCAGUGUUAACAAAGGCAAAGCACUUUGAAGCGUAAUUGCUGCUCGCCCCUUAACUUCCAUUGUGCUUCACUGAGUUAUUGUAAAUAGAUGCCAUUUUUCUCUCAAAGACCUAUAUCAUUGUGCCUGGCUAAUUGAAUUCAGCCCUCACAAGGCUCAUUUCCUUUAGUAAUUCGUGGACCCGCAAUGUUCCAGCAAGUUCAUUAUGUAGUGAAACAUGCUCCCCAACCCCUCGUGCUCAUAUUCAGGUCCCGCAGGAAAUUGUAAGGCUUCCAGAAACCAGCCCACACACCUGUAGGUGCCUACAUAAUCCAUGAAUCAUAUCUGCUGUACAGUGGGCCCCCUGAUUCAUUGCUUAGGAACUAUGCAAAUCUCAUGACGUCUGUUUUAAUAUACUCUCAAAGGCAUUAGAAGCCUUGUGAAACUUUAUACAGUUAUGCAAAGUUGGCGUGCCCACGGGAAGGGGCGCUGCGCGGCUGCCUUCCCGCAGCACGGUCUGCAGCCGCCAGAAAGAUCGUGGACGGACCGGGGAAGCCGACGCUGUGUCGGGGGGGGGGUCCUGCUACCGGCUGUACGGUCCGGUCCGCACCACCGUCCGGCUGCGGUGGAGGAAGGAGCAAGGGAGGAAGCAGCAGCCAGGUGCUGAAGGAUCCCUUUCACUACUUUCUUGAGCGCCCCGGGUCUGACUCUGCCCCGCGGUGUCGCACGCUGGUGUCAGUCGCUCCAGUGAUUUCAGUGGGGUUGCUUCUGAUUCGUACCAGUGUAAGCAAGAGAGCCGUUUCCCAGGGCACAGUACUAGAAGUUGUGGUGGCUUUAAUGGAUCGGGAAGGACAUUGUGCCUUGUAUCUGGAUACCAGCCUGUGCUGUUAAUGACUGCGAGUGUUACUGCUACCGGCUCUCUGGGGGCUUGUCUUUGAUGCAAGGGAGGGCCCAGGCCUGGUCCUGUAGCAGCUCCUCACACCAGCUCUCCCGGGAGUACGGAGCAGGCAUGGCCCCGGCCACCCGGCACCCUCGGCUACUUGGACUGGCCAUUGGGCUCGUUGAACUGGGGAGCUGGGGCUCUGGGAACUAACUUCAACUGGGAAACGACACCAGCUCAGCAUCUCCAGGAGGUGCAAAAAACUGGCACAAAGCUGUUUCCGCAGCACCACCUCCUCAGCUGUAUUGAUUCUGGCCGCAGCGAGUGCAGGGUGUCAGGAAUAUUAACUACGGCAAGCACAGUCUAUCCGCUGCCCUUGUUGUGAGGACAGCAUAGAACAGAAAGUUUCACCCAGCAGUCCAGGACAUGGCCCGGGAGGAGAACGGAAGAGAAGAGUAUUGCAACGCGCUGUGUUCAGACAGCAUUUUCAUGAAAAACAAAUAGAACUGGGAGAUUCAUAAAGAAAAUAUGGUAGGACACAGACGUGAUUAGCUAGACAGUAUUUAAUUAAGUAUACUAGGGAUUGUUAGCAAAUGAAAGCUUAUCAACUCCAGGCCAUUCUGCAGCAUACAGGACGACUUUGCCCAUGGGAAAACAGACUGAGACUGUUACUGACCCUAAAAGCCACUGCGAUAGCCCGUUACUUUUCAUGUCACCCCUGGCAUCAGGACCAGGGAGCGAGCAGGUCCGGACAAGUGGCUCAGCUGGGCUCCUGUCCCUCGGUACAAAAAGUCCUCUGAGCAUGGCUUAGAAAAUGUCCUCUCUUUGCAGAAGCAGUGACUUGCAGUGACGUGAAAACCAGCUGGUUGUCCCGAUGCACACUGCGGCAGCCAGCGCAGAGCUGUCUCGGUAAGGCACGUGACUGCUAAGUGAAGACAUCCCCCGGCCCGGGCGAGCCCUGAGCGGGCGUACCUCACAACUGAAGUGUUCUUGUGGUGGGCACAAGAGUGUGCGCUCUGGAUGGGAUGCUCAGCUCACACUCUGUGUCACCAGGAACACCUGGUGCAAAGUGAGUCUAGCUGCAGCAAGGAAGACAUGAACGGAGAGCUCUGAUGUGGUAGAUUGACACCUGUUUUCCUCAGGUGUAAAGGCUAACUUAAUAACUAUUCUCCAACUAUUUGGGUUGGUCUAAUAAAAGAUAUCAAAUUCACCCAAGGAACCUUGUCUGCCUAUGUCUGGAGACCAAUACGGCUACAACCUACACCCCUGCAAGGCUAACUCAAGUCAUUUGUGGAUGUUAAGGCCAGGCUUGACCAUGAGAGCAUCUUGCCUGACCUCUGGCACAACACAUCCCAGAAAACCUCACCCAGGGACCCCAGCACAUCACUUCCAGCUGAGCCGGAUCUGAAAGAGACACCGGGUCUCGAUGGAAAGACUGCAAGUGAUGGAGACUUCCCCAGACCUUGAGGUCAGUGGGUCCAACGGAUACUCUCCUUCACUG